rnacentral:tRNA from 1 species
GGGAAGGUGGCUCAGUGGUAGAGCGCUUGCCUUGCAUGCAUGAGGCCCUGAGCCACCUUCCCA